UAGGGAAUCUUCCACAAUGGACGCAAGUCUGAUGGAGCAACGCCGCGUGAGUGAAGAAGGUUUUCGGACCGUAAAGCUCUGUUGUUGGUGAAGAAGGAUAGAGGUAGUAACUGGCCUUUAUUUGACGGUAAUCAACCAGAAAGUCACGGCUAACUACGUGCCAGCAGCCGCGGUAAUACGUAGGUGGCAAGCGUUGUCCGGAUUUAUUGGGCGUAAAGCGAGCGCAGGCGGAAGAAUAAGUCUGAUGUGAAAGCCCUCGGCUUAACCGAGGAAUUGCAUCGGAAACUGUUUUCUUGAGUGCAGAAGAGGAGAGUAGAACUCCAUGUGUAGCGGUGGAAUGCGUAGAUAUAUGGAAGAAUACCAGUGGCGAAGGCGGCUCUCUGGUCUGCAACUGACGCUGAGGCUCGAAAGCAUGGGUAGCGAACAGGAUUAGAUACCCUGGUAGUCCAUGCCGUA
rnacentral:rRNA from 1 species